rnacentral:rRNA from 1 species
AGUGAACGCUGGCGGUAGGCCUAACACAUGCAAGUCGAACGGCAGCACAGUAAGAGCUUGCUCUUACGGGUGGCGAGUGGCGUGCGGGUGAGGAAUACAUCGGAAUCUACUUUUUCGUGGGGGAUAACGUAGGGAAACUUACUCUAAUACCGCAUACGACCUACGGGUGAAAGCAGUGGAUCUUCGGAGCUUGCGCGGUUGAAUGAGCCGAUGUGGUAUUUGAUAGUUGGCGGGGUAAAGGCCCACCAAGGCGACGAUCGGUUGCUGGUGUGUGAGGAUGGUCGGCGGCACUGGAGCGGGGACACGGUCAAGAGUCCUACGGGAGGGAGCAGUCGGGAAUAUUGGGCAAUGGGCGGAAGCCUUAUCCAGUCAUACGGCGUGGGUGACGGAGACCCUCGGGUUGUGAAGCCGGUUUGUUGGGAAAGAAGAGCUGUAGGCUAAUACCCAGCUGUUCUGACGGUACCCAAAGAAUAAGCACCGGCUAACUACGUG